GAAAACUAAAGUGUCCAAGUACACAACAUAUCUCUAAACAAGGAAAACUGGUGACUGUAGUGAAUUUUUUGGUUCCUAGAUCGAUGCAAUGAACAUAUAUCAGCUUCGAGAGAUCGAAUGGUCUCUCACACCGCGAAAUUAACCUCACGGCGUCCAUGUCGAAAUGGCAAGUCAUGUGACCCAAAAAUAAUGAUAAUAUAGUUGGAAGCAACGCAUCAUGGGAAGUCAGGUACGUCAUGGGGGUCGGUCGCAGACGAUUGAACCGCCGGUAUGGAAUUUUCUGACACGUCCGGCUGCAACGCAAGUCUAAUUGGCUGGCGAAACAAAGAGUUCUUUUGUUUCACGUUUUGGACAUUUCAAUAACAAAAACAAUGUUUGUAAACAGAAAGACAAAUUUCACCUUAGCCCAGAAGUAUAUGCUAACCGUGUAAAUGAUCAUUACUGCAAACUGGCGCACGAAUAAAAAUGUCUGCAAACUGCGCGACGGAUCUUCGUCUUUCUAAGGUAAAGUUCUUUUCUGUUCUUUUUAACUGAUUUAAAAAUCAUUUCUAGUCAUUCGAUUCGCCGUUGCUCUCUUUUGGCAAGCUUAUAUUUUAACGGCGAGAGACAAUUCAAGUGAGUUCAAUAUUUCGCCACGGGGAUCGUGGAGACCAUGGGAAGUGUUGCUGGAGUGUACUAGCAAAUGUGUGCAACUUCAAGUGAUUAGGUGAUCUCCGUCAAAUUUUAGAUUUUUAUUGUAGUUUUCCUAGUUCUAGUUUAAAGAUAUUUUAGUUUUUAGUAAAAACGACCCCACUAGCUUUUUAGCUUUAAUGCUCGUCGUUUUAAAUAACAAAGUCUAUUAGUCUUAUAAAGUCAUUCAUUCAUUCACGCGAACAGUAGCUUGAAUUUCUUCGAUUUCUUCGGUGCCGCGCUCUUCGGUGCGCGAGUAGCAUCAUGUUCGGGAAAAGGAAAUUACCAUCUUCGACCAUCUUCAACUCAGCUCCAGCUCGCAAGCUUUCCCGCCAAAUUGUCUGAUUGGCUCGGAACAAACGGAAAGAUGGCUGAUUGGUUAACUGUACCAAAUGAUUUCUUGCCCUGGACCCAAGCGCGCGCGCGCCUCCGAAAUCUGAAUUACGAGGAAGUGACUUUUUUCAUCCCCUGUUCUAGAGUUAUAGGUCAUAGCUGUCAUUCCAACAGCUCAAAAGCAUGGUUUACGUGUUGCUAUACAAUUAUUAUCUGGAGAGAUCCUUCAGGAAGUAGCUAUAGACCAAACUGGAAGUUCACCUGUUGUGGCAGGUGAGCCCACUAACACUGUUGGUGAGCCAGGUGAAACUGCAGAGUACCUGGUGCAGCUUGGCUUGGAGGAUUUUACAAGACAACAGAGUGUGACAUCUGAUGUUAACCAACGGUUGAGGUCUUGUAUGUUAGGAAGACCACAGGAACAUACAUGUACCUGUUAUUACUGCCAGGUACACAUAUACAACACUUAUUGCAUUUCAGUCGGUUUUAGUAAAUAAGAAAUUAGUGAUUUACAUUUUUCAUUUUAAUGCAAAACUAAAUAAGGGACAGCCUGUUCCAGGCUCAGUCUGCUUGUGGAGGCAGAUGAAAUCAAAAUCCUGUCAAUACGUAAUUAGUCAAACCUAGGUUUUCUUGCAAAAAUGUAUUUAUAUGAGAGUAUAUGUUACAAGCAGCCAAACAUUAAGCAUAAUAAGUGUAAUAAUUACAAUGUGAUCAGGUGGAAACCAAUGAAUUUGAAAUAUGCAGUUUAUUGGACAUACAUGUAUCAAAGUACCAAAUAUAUUGAGGCA